CGGGAGGCAGCAGUGGGGAAUCUUCCGCAAUGGACGAAAGUCUGACGGAGCAACGCCGCGUGAACGAUGACGGCCUUCGGGUUGUAAAGUUCUGUUAUAUGGGACGAAAGGAAUGGUUAAUACCCGGUGUCUUUGACGGUACCGUAAGAGAAAGCCACGGCUAACUACGUGCCAGCAGCCGCGGUAAUACGUAGGUGGCAAGCGUUGUCCGGAAUAUUGGGCGUAAGGGCGCGCAGGCGGCAUCGCAAGUCGGUCUUAAAAGUGCGGGGCUUAACCCCGUGAGGGGACCGAAACUGUGAAGCUCGAGUGUCGGAGAGGAAAGCGGAAUUCCCAGUGUAGCGGUGAAAUGCGUAGAUAUUGGGAGGA
rnacentral:rRNA from 1 species